GUUUCCGUAGUGUAGCGGUUAUCACGUCUGCUUCACACGCAUAAGGUCCCUGGUUCGAUCCCGGGCGGGAACA